GAUGAACGCUCGCGGCAGGCCUAAUACAUGCAAGUCGGACGGGAUUCAGGAGCUUGCUUCUGAUGAGAGUGGCGCACGGGUGCGUAACACGUAUGUAACCUACCUUUAUCAGGGGGAUAGCCUCUCGAAAGAGAGAUUAAGCCCGCAUAAAAUCACAGCACAGCAUUGUGUAAUGAUCAAAUAUUUAUAGGAUAAAGAUGGGCAUGCGGAACAUUAGCUAGAUGGCGGGGUAACGGCCCACCAUGGCGACGAUGUUUAGGGGAUCUGAGAGGAUGGCCCCCCACACUGGUACGGAGACACGGACCAGACUCCUACGGGAGGCAGCAGUAAGGAAUAUUGGUCAAUGGGCGGAAGCCUGAACCAGCCAUGCCGCGUGCAGGAAGACGGCCCUACGGGUUGUAAACUGCUUUUAGACGGGAAUAAACCCAGAUACGUGUAUCUGGCUGAAUGUACUGUAAGAAUAAGGAUCGGCUAACUCCGUG
rnacentral:rRNA from 1 species